rnacentral:rRNA from 1 species
CCUACGGGUGGCUGCAGUGAGGAAUAUUGGUCAAUGGACGAGAGUCUGACCCAGCCAAGUAGCGUGAAGGAUGACUGCCCUAUGGGUUGUAAACUUCUUUUAUAUGGGAAUAAAAUGUUCCACGUGUGGGAUUUUGUAUGUACCAUAUGAAUAAGGACAGGCUAACUCCGUGCCAGCAGCCGCGGUAAUACGGAGGAUCCGAGCGUUAUCCGGAUUGAUGGGGUGUAAAGGGGGCGUAGGUGGAUUGUUAAGUCAGUUGUGAAAGUUUGCGGCUCAACCGUAAAAUUGCAGUUGAAACUGGCAGUCUGGAGUGCAGUAGAGGUGAGCGGAAUUCGUGGUGUAGCGGUGAAAUGCGUAGAUAUCACGAAGAACUCC